rnacentral:rRNA from 1 species
AUUAAAAACCAAUGCCCUUUGGGCUCACUGGUGAUUCAUGAUAACUUCUCGAAUCGCAUGGCCUUGCGCCGGCGAUGGUUCAUUCAAAUUUCUGCCCUAUCAACUUUCGACGGCUGGGUCUUGGCCAGCCAUGGUGACAACGGGUAACGGAGGGUUAGGGCUCGACCCCGGAGAAGGAGCCUGAGAAACGGCUACUACAUCCAAGGAAGGCAGCAGGCGCGCAAAUUACCCAAUCCCGACACGGGGAGGUAGUGACAAUACAUACUGAUACAGGGCUCUUUUGGGUCUUGUAAUUGGAAUGAGUACAAUUUAAAUCCCUUAACGAGGAACAAUUGGAGGGCAAGUCUGGUGCCAGCAGCCGCGGUAAUUCCAGCUCCAAUAGCGUAUAUUAAAGUUGUUGCGGUUAAAAAGCUCGUAGUUGAACCUUGGGCCUGGCUGGCCGGUCCGCCUCACCGCGUGCACUGGUACGGUCGGGCCUUUCCCUCUGGGGAACCGCAUGCCCUUCACUGGGUGUGUC